rnacentral:misc_RNA from 1 species
GGCUAGCUCCAUUCACAUGAAAGUAAAACUGAUCUGCUGUAGAGGGAUUCUUUCUUCUUUGGCUUAUUCAAUUAUUAUGUCAAAUGGCAUAUAUUCUUUCUUUUUCUCUCUUUUUUUUGUAAGUUUUCACUAGCCAUUUGCUGUCACUCAAAUACUCUAAGUCUCAACUUUCUCUCAAGUCUUAAGUCUCAGCCAUUUUCUCUUA